GAUGAACGCUGGCGGCGUGCCUAAUACAUGCAAGUCGAGCGAACGGACGAGAAGCUUGCUUCUCUGAUGUUAGCGGCGGACGGGUGAGUAACACGUGGAUAACCUACCUAUAAGACUGGGAUAACUUCGGGAAACCGGAGCUAAUACCGGAUGAUAUUUUGAACCGCAUGGUUCAAAAGUGAAAGACGGUCUUGCUGUCACUUAUAGAUUGAUCCGCGCUGCAUUAGCUAGUUGGUAAGGUAACGGCUUACCAAGGCAACGAUGCAUAGCCGACCUGAGAGGGUGAUCGGACACACGGGAACUGAGACACGGUCCAGACUCCUACGGGAGGCAGCAGUAGGGAAUCUUCCGCAAUGGGCGAAAGCCUGACGGAGCAACGCCGCGUGAGUGAUGAAGGUCUUCGGAUCGUAAAACUCUGUUAUUAGGGAAGAACAUAUGUGUAAGUAACUGUGAACAUCUUGACGGUACCUAAUCAGAAAGCCACGGCUAACUACGUG
rnacentral:rRNA from 1 species